CCUUUAAUGGCUGGUGUUCUAACGUAGACCCGUGAUCCGGGUUGCGGACAGUGUCUGGUGGGUAGUUUGACUGGGGCGGUCUCCUCCUAAAGAGUAACGGAGGAGCACGAAGGUUAGCUAAUCCUGGUCGGACAUCAGGAGGUUAGUGCAAAGGCAUAAGCUAGCUUGACUGCGAGAGUGACGGCUCGAGCAGGUGCGAAAGCAGGUCUUAGUGAUCCGGUGGUUCUGAAUGGAAGGGCCAUCGCUCAACGGAUAAAAGGUACUCCGGGGAUAACAGGCUGAUACCGCCCAAGAGUUCAUAUCGACGGCGGUGUUUGGCACCUCGAUGUCGGCUCAUCACAUCCUGGGGCUGAAGUAGGUCCCAAGGGUAUGGCUGUUCGCCAUUUAAAGUGGUACGCGAGCUGGGUUUAGAACGUCGUGAGACAGUUCGGUCCCUAUCUGCCGUGGGCGCUGGAGAAUUGAGGGGGGCUGCUCCUAGUACGAGAGGACCGGAGUGGACGCAUCACUGGUGUUCGGGUUGUCAUGCCAAUGGCAUUGCCCGGUAGCUAAAUGCGGAAGAGAUAAGUGCUGAAAGCAUCUAAGCACGAAACUUGCCCCGAGAUGAGUUCUCCCUGACUCCUUGAGAGUCCUGAAGGAACGUUGAAGACGACGACGUUGAUAGGUCGGGUGUGUAAGUGUAGCGAUACAUUGAGCUAACCGAUACUAAUGAACCGUGAGGCUUAACCUU
rnacentral:rRNA from 1 species